rnacentral:rRNA from 2 species
UGGAAGUAAAAGUCGUAACAAGGUCUCCGUUGGUGAACCAGCGGAGGGAUCAUUACCGAGUUUACAAAACUCCCAACCCCUGUGAACUAUACCUGUUUGUUGCUUCGGCGGUGCCCCUCGCUUCGCGGCGAGGGCCCGCCAGAGGACCCAAAUUCUAUGUUUUUUUUUGCAUUCGUUUUAAUAUUCUGAGUGGAAUUUUUAAAUAAAAAUUAAAACUUUCAACAACGGAUCUCUUGGCUCUGGCAUCGAUGAAGAACGCAGCGAAAUGCGAUAAGUAAUGUGAAUUGCAGAAUUCAGUGAAUCAUCGAAUCUUUGAACGCACAUUGCGCCCGCCAGUAUUCUGGCGGGCAUGCCUGUUCGAGCGUCAUUUCAACCCUCAAGCCCCCCGGGCUUGGUGUUGGGGAUCGGCACAAGGCCCCUCGCGGCCCGCCGUCCCCCARAUGCAGUGGCGGUCACGUCGCAGCCUUCUAUGCGUAGUAGCAACACCUCGCACUGGAGCGCGACGCGGCCACGCCGUAAAACCCCCGACUUUUUUCUGGUUGACCUCGAAUCAGGUAGGACUACCCGCUGAACUUAAGCAUAUCAAUAAGCGGAGG